CGGCGGACGGGUGAGUAACGUGUGGGUAACCUGCCUCAUACAGGGGGAUAACAGUUGGAAACGGCUGCUAAUACCGCAUAAGCGCACAGUACCGCAUGGUACGGUGUGAAAAACUCCGGUGGUAUGAGAUGGACCCGCGUCUGAUUAGGUAGUUGGUGGGGUAACGGCCUACCAAGCCGACGAUCAGUAGCCGACCUGAGAGGGUGACCGGCCACAUUGGGACUGAGACACGGCCCAA
rnacentral:rRNA from 1 species